rnacentral:lncRNA from 1 species
CGCUGUCAUUUCUGCAACCCACCCCCACCCCAUUGUCUCUCGAUUUUUGUCUGUCACCUUGAACUGGAAAGCAAUAUAUUAAUCAGUGUGCCAACGUGCAUUCCCUGGCCCGUCCCCUGCCUCCGUUCACUUUAUUUAUAUAGGUCAUGUGUUAUUUUGAUGAUGGAAUGAACAUUCUCGCGCUGUCCUAAGAAGUGUUCCUCCGCCGUCGCCCCACGGUGGCAGCGACUGGGGCUGCCUCUCUUACCCGACUCACACCUUGCAGGCCUCUAAACUGGCAAAGAAAACACGUGGUGAUGUUGUCCAGGAGUAGGGACAACUUUCCCCUCUGCAAAGAGAGUGAUGGCCCCAAGUCCUUUGUGACUGCCCACCAGGCAUGGCGGCCAGACUCUAAAGGAAGUACUUCUUACCUUGGAACCUGGAUCCUGGGCACAGUGGGCUUGGCUUUCCUGGUAGUAGCCUAGCCUCCACAGUGGGUGGAUGGUCUCUUAGCCGUGAUCCUGCUUUUGAGUUCAGCUGCCUGUAUUACUCUGUGCCGGAAGGACCACGGACACUUUCAUUAAAGUCUCCUGAGACUA